CCUACGGGAGGCAGCAGUGAGGAAUAUUGGUCAAUGGGCGCGAGCCUGAACCAGCCAAGUAGCGUGAAGGAUGACUGCUCUACGGGUUGUAAACUUCUUUUAUAAAGGAAUAAAGUGAGGCACGUGUGCCUUUUUCUCUGUACUUUAUGAAUAAGGAUCGGCUAAAUCCGUGCCAGCAGCCGCGGUAAUACGGAGGGUCCGAGCGUUAUCCGGAUUUAUUGGGGUUAAAGGGAGCGUAGAUGGGUUGGUAAGUCAGAUGUGAAAGUUUGGGGCUCAACCGUAAAAUUGCAAUUGAAACUGGCAGGCUUGAGUGCAGUUGAGGUAGGCGGAAUUCGUGGUGUAGCGGUGAAAUGCUUAGAUAUCACGAAGAACUCCGAUUGCGAAGGCAGCUUACUAAACUGCCACUGACAUUGAUGCUCGAAAGUGUGGGUAUCAAACAGGAUUAGAUACCCGUGUAGUC
rnacentral:rRNA from 1 species